GUCACAUUCAGGCAUCCUAGGAGGUGGCCAUUAUGUGUCAUAUGCGUGCAAUCCAAAUGGACGGUGGUACUGCUACAAUGACAGCAGUUGUAAGGAGGUGAGUGAGUCUCAAAUGGACACCAGCUCAGCCUAUAUGUUGUUCUACGAGCGAGAGGGGUUGGACCAGCAGCAGUACAUGCCUAGUGUUGUCGGCAAGGCACCCGACACACGUGAUCUCGAUGAUGAGUUCGAUUCGGAUCUUAAGAAACUCUGCUGCCUCAUGUGAGUCAGUGAGGUUUUGCCCUGUGACAUAUCUCAUUGGUCUCGUGUGAAUAUUUAUCUUCUCAUAACUGUGGUAAAAGCUAAAGUAUUGUAAAUUAUUUGUUAUUUUUUGUGUGUUGUGUAAAUGUAUGGUGAAAUGUGUCACUCGAAUGCAUGCAAAAUGUGUUAAAAGUGAGUGCCAUGUGAAGAUUGCUUUUAUUGUAAAUUGUUGAUCAGUGUGAAUAAGUUGCUCUUCUGUUUCAUUCAAAGUAUUUAUAGACUUUUGUAGUCUUAAUAUAAGGCAAUAUUUUGCCCCCUUUAAAAUCAAAAGAAGUUAGUGCAGAGAAGACAGAUGUAUCAUACAAAGAAAAUUCAUACCUGAUGACACUUUUGUGCUUUGUAAUCAAUGUCAAUCUAUCUGCUUUAAAGAAUGUUUAUAUGUAUUUUUGUACACUAAUAUACCCAAUACCAUUAUGCCAUAUCUGUCCAUAGUACUCAAUCAUCUCAGGUUCUCACAAUUUAAGCUAUGUAUUUAGUUUAUAGGAAAAAUUAAUUUUGUUUACCAGCUGUCUUCAUAACAGAUGUCAUCUUCAGCAAUAUAUGAUUAGUUUUUCAGUACACAGAAUUGUUUUGCCUUUUGUACCAUACACCUUUUGUUUUAUGUGGUGUUGUACAAGAAACAGUAUAUGUGGCAUAAGACUGAUAGCCCAGUUCAUUUUUAUUAGAUAUAUGUUCCUUGUGGGAGGGUACAUGUGCUGACGUCCCCAAUUCUACAAGUUUAUAUUGCUAAUACCAUUAGAUCAGUGGAAUUCAUAACAUUAUUCCUUGAAAUCCAUUUGCCUGUCUAUAAUGUCUCUAUUUUAUUGACAUCAGUUCUUCAAUUUUGUGCACUUUGCAGUAGAAUCUAAAGAAGAAAGAUGAGAAAAAUCUUACAUUUCUUUAAGGGGUCUAUCAUGCCCAAAAUAUUCUGUGAAGUAUGCAAGCAUAAUGUUAUUAGUAAUGUGUAUAGUGUAUAUUUUGAACAAAACAUUAUUUUAAUAUCAUUACCUGCACUGCAGUUUUUUGUCAAAGGGUGUUCUUCAUUAAAGUAUUCACAGUCAGUUUAUUUGCAUGUGAUGUGGAAGAGCCAUUAAGAAACCAAAGAGGAGAUUAUAUUUUAUAUUUUCUUUCAUGUUUUUAGUUUAUAUAUAAGAUAUUUAAAAUCACCAUGAUUGCAGUGAAUUCUGUACAAAGUAUGUGAUUGCCCUUGUUUAAAUGGGACACAGAUAUUUAAUUUUUGUAUGUUGUGUUUCCAUACACACGUUUUAUCAGCAUACCCUGCAUUUUCUUGUGUUAAUAUUAUUUUUGUAAUUUAAAUUAACCUCUUUUCCUCCCUUCACAUGACAGUUUAAGUAAAUUAUAAUUUUCUGUAAGUGUGCAUUGAUUCUGACUUACAAAAGAACAGUACCCAUGUAAUCAAUGCGUGGUAACACUUUCCCGGCAGUUUUGUUAAUUGAAACAUCAAAUAUUACAGUUUUUCAGAAUGAAGUUUGCUUAGCAAGUCAUUCUCCAGGAAUCCAAAUUUUGUCAUUGGUGGAUAAUCAUCUAUUAGUAAGCCCUUUCACAGGACCAUCAAUACAGUUAAAGUUCAUAACAAUGAAUAUGUUACUACCCUAUGCUGCAUUGUGUGUUUUCUGGUGCACUUUUAAUAUAUUUUAUUAUGCCUGUACUAUUGUUUUUAGUGCCAUUUCCAUACACAUUUCAUAUUGUUUCUUUUUUAUAGAAAAAUGUCUGUAAGAAAUUUUUAUAUGAUCAUUAUUUACCUUUCCGCAUAAAAUUUAGUCCUCAGGUUCUUGCUGUUUCUUCUGUAAGACAAACAACUCAUUAUUACCUUUAGUCAGUAGCAUUAUUCUCAGCAGAAUGUAGCUGUAUUUUCCAUUUACCAUGUAGUUAAAGCAACACUAGUCAGUAAAUGUUAUUAUGAACAUAUUAAAUUCACAAAAACUACAUUAUUUCUGUACCUUGUGAUCCCUUUCAGAAGUCUGAAGAAAUAAAUUGUGUGUUAUUCUUUUAAUUAUGUAUGGAAAAAUAUUAAUUUAACAAUUGACAUGUGCAAGUCAUUUAGAUGUCUCAUACAAGUUUAUAAAUGUGUGUUGUAUAUAAAAUUGUUACACAUUUCACUGUUAUGUAAAUGAUAAUGAUAAAAAUAAUAAUAAUAGUUAUAGUAGUACUGCUAAUGUUCUGCCUUGAUAUUGCACACCUGUGUUAGAUAUUGAUGAGAGAUUAUUAAUACAGAAGAUAAAAUGAAGAUAAUAUGUGUGGAUAAAAGUACCAGGGAGCAAUUCAGCCUAAUUGUUGAUUUUUGCAAAAUAUAUAUGAAUUCCAGAGAUUACACUAUUGGUGAUAAUUUAAAAAAAAAUUUGUUACUGUAAAGAAUAUGUUUAUUGCAUCUUUAUACAUAAUUUGUAAAUAUACAGAGAUAUUAUUGUUUUAUCAUAUAUCAGUGUGUGAGCUUUAAUAGAAAAUAAAGUGUUGCCUUAUUGUUUAGUGUGUAGGUGUGGCAGUAUUAUGCCAGCUGUGAAAAUGUAAAUUAGCAGAUGACGAGUGAGUGUGAGUAUGUCUCCCAUAUUCAUUUUCGUGAAAAAGGUGUAUUUUCGUAGUAAACUAUUACAAGUAUUAUUAAUUGUAUAAAUCGAAUGAAAACUAUAUAAUUUAAAUGUAUGUUUGAUAGUUUUUAAGCUUUAAUGGUGUUUAUGAAAGAAGAUGAAUCAGACAUUAUUUUAUCUGUUGAGAUAGAAAUAAAAAUAUGUAUAGCCACUUUUUGAAUAGAAAUUCAUUCUUUAGUAUGGCUAUUUUCAGUGAGCAUUGUUAUCUCCCCUUAGAAUACAUGUAAUAAUGAUUCUGGUGUUGUAUAUUCUGUAGUUUUUAAAGUGCUCCUUCUGAGUUGUGUUGAACCACUAUAAAUGGUAAGUAACUUGUGUAACAAUUAGGCUGGAUAAUAAAAAAUUUAAGAUGAGAGAAGAGCGAGUUGCUACAAAAUAUUUGGCUUCACUUUUAUGUGAUAAGUGGUCCACCUCCGUAGCAGAGUGGUCACCCUUACCAAAUGCCAUGCAGAGGACCCAGGAUCAAUUUCCGGUACUGCCAGGGAUGUUUCUUCAGUGGGAGGACUGGAAUGGGAUCGCAGCCUCGUAAUGCGUUGAUGAACUAAGUGACUGAGCAGCAGCAGCAGCAGCAGCUUCUGCUCACAAAAACUAACAAUGGCCGGGAGAGUUUUGUGCUGAUCCCACGCUCCCCGUACCACAUCCAAUUAUGCCACUGGCAGAGGAUGAUGUGGCGGUCGUUCAGUACCGUUGGGCCCGCUAGGGCCUAUGGAUAGAGUAUACAUUAUGUGCUGAAUUAGUGUGAAAAUAAUGCACAACUUUUUUUUUGUGUGUAAACUUAAAAUCAUUGUGGCUCACACAGUUAUACAUUUGUUAAUAUCUGCUACUCUUGUUAAUAGUUCAAAUGUCAUCCUGUCUUUCUCAUGGCUGAAAUUUUACAGACUUGAAAAAUGAUCUUUUAAUGUUAUUACACAGAGUGCCACACACUGAAUUUGUUCUGAAAGUAUCUGUGUAGUUUAUGAUCUGUGUGCAUUAAACAAAACUUUGUUUCCCUUUUUUAAUAUUGAUUUCUAUAUUUGAUAUGGGUAAGAUGUUAGACAUUCUGCAUCAAGAAAAAUUAUUGAUUUCCAGGACUUAAUUGUAUAAUACUUUUCAGAUUAAAUAUCUAAUGGUUAUUCUGGCUCUACAGUCCAUUCUCAUGAAACACUGAUUUUGUGCAGUAAAACCUGCAUGUUUUGUGCGGAUGGAUUGAAAAAGGAAGGUGUGGCCACUGGGAAGCUGCAGUAUGAAUAGUUUUGAUAUCAUCAUCAGCAGCAGCAGCAUCAUCAUCAUCUGGUUGGUGCAGUAAAGUCAUACUGGAUAACUGUGGCAAAUAGCUGACAACUCAGCUUUUGAAGAGAGUAAGGAGCAAACAACUAAGUGGGCAACAGCAUGUUGUUCUUAUGAAGAACAGUAACAGUUCAAUUUAACUGUCAUUGGUAGGCUUGCUGGCCUAGUGUGGGUAGCCCAUCAUCUGCAGUCAUUACAGUUAGCUGAUUAGACUAAAUUAUCCUGACUGUAUGAUGAUUAUCCUGAUGUUAUAAAAAAUAGUCACUAGGAAAAAAGUUCAGUCAUAUUGCAGCUUUUGGGCACCCGUGUCUUCCUUUUUCAAAUAAUCAGAAAAGUUGAUAAUAGCAGUUGCACAGAGGAAUAAAUUCCUAUUCAAAUAACUACUGGCAAUGUUUUUAUUUCUAUCUGUAUAUGAAAAUACAUAGUUCACCAUCCCCAUCAAUGUAUUUACAGAUGUUAUCCUUUAUGCUAUACUCUUUAAUAAAGUAUAUGCCAACUUCAGAAAAUGAAUAUGACACUGGAAAAGCUUGUUACAUUUUCUUCUGACUGACAAUUACAUUUUGUACAAUGCUUAAUUAUUGUACAGUAGUGCAGCAUUCUAGCAAGAUACAUUCCCUUUAUAAUUCAAAUUUGUUUGUAAAAAAACCCUAAGUAUUGACAAUUAGAAAUGAAAUGUAGAAAAUGUAUGUUGCAUUCCAUAUGCACAUGUAAGUAUUUUAAAGUGUAUUUUAUACAGUUUGAGUUAUCAUUCAUUAAGAUAUUACUUUCAAAUCUGGGACUGUGCUUGGAUAUAUCCUUAAUAUUUUGUAUCAAGAAAUGUUUUUAAAUGUGCAGGGACGGAAUUGUUUCAAACUUAAAACUAAGAUAUAUUGUGAUAUCAACUAGAAACCUUAAUUCGUGUUUAGCAUCUCCUAGUCUUAUGCUAUAAUAUUUUCUGGAACCUGUCAAUAUAGGGAAUAUAUUCAUCUAUUGGAUUACAGGCAUGAUAUAUUAUUCAAUGAUUUUAUGGCUUUUGUAGAAAGAUUAUAUCAUUUUGAAAUUGUUAAAUCUACUGCAGUCAAAGAAUGAUAAUCCAGAAAUGGAAAUGGUCAUACCUGUAUAUACUAUAUUACUUCCUGUGUUACUUGUUAUCAGAUUUAUGUAUACCUGUUGAUUGAAUAGAAUGCAUAGUAAACAGGAAAUGAUUUGUGCCAUUGUCAGGGAGGAGUAGCUAUGCACCUCCCUUUCAUUACAGUAUUCCUGAAAAUAUUCAGUUAAUAAAAGAUGAAAUAAAAUUGAA